AACUGGGACAGAGCCGGGACAGAGCCGGGACUGAACCGGGACAGAGCCGGGAGAGAAUCGGGACAGGACCGGGACAGAACCGGGACAGGACUGGGACAGAACUGGGACAGAACUGGGACAGAACUGGGACGGGCUGGGGGGCCCAGGAGAGAGCGGGAACCCCGGGACAGAGCGAGACCCUCGGUGGGGAACUGGGACCUGCUGGGACCUGCUGGGAGCCUCGGUGCGGAACUGGGACCAGAGGGGUGGAACCGGGAUGUGCCCGGAACCCGGGGAUGGAACCGGGAUAACGGGAUGGAACCGGGAUGGAACUGGGACAGAUAAUGGGGCGGUGGGGGGAACUGGGAGAGAACGGGAUCCUGGCGGGACAGAACCGGGACAGGAUAGAGACAGAACCGGGACAGAUCCGGGACAGAGCCGGGACAGGACCGGGACAGAACUGGGACAGAGCCGGGACAGAGCCGGGACUGAACCGAGACAGAACCGGGACAGGACUGGGACAGGACCGGGACAGAACCGGGACAGGACCGGGACACACUGGAGGAGGACGGAGGCACGGCCAGAACCGCUGGGAGGACCGGGACCUACUGGGACCCUCGGUGUGGAACUGGGACGUGCCGGGAGCCCCAGUUUGGGACCAGGACGUGCCGGGAGCCCUGGGAGCCACGGGCAGGACGGUCCCGGCAUGGAGCAGGUGAGCGGGCACGGCCCGGGACUGACCCCACGCGGGACUGACCCCACACCGACACCGGGCCGGGCUGGUGGCCAGGCGGGCCGGGCUGGUGGCCAAAGCUCAUCCCUGUGCCAGGAAAGCCCCGUGGGUGCCACCCGCUCUGACCCCGCCACCCCGCCCCUGUCCCCGCGUGAGGAGGAGGAGGAGGAGGAGGAGGAGGAGGAUGAGGAGGAUGAGGAGGAGGAGGAGGAGGGGAAGGCUGCACAGCGCCCCUGCGGGGGGGGGGGGGGGGGGGGGGGGGGGGGGGGGGGGGGGGGGGGGGGGGGGGGG
rnacentral:lncRNA from 12 species